UGCGGCUGGAUCUCCUUCAGUGCAAUCUUCGGGUGCCCAAUGAUCGCCGAGCGCGGGCCGCUGAUGGUCUCAAAUCCGGCGAGUGGCUGCGACGCGGUCGGCUGGGUCUUGAUGUCCGCGAGGAUGGUCAGGUUGUUGUUGAGGUGCGCUCGCCCCGCGAACAGGAACUUCGCCAGCUCGGGAGCCCAGACGUCCUGCUGCUCCAGCUUGCCGAAUGGGGAAACCCGG
rnacentral:misc_RNA from 1 species